UACGUAGGGUGCGAGCGUUAAUCGGAAUUACUGGGCGUAAAGCGUGCGCAGGCGGUUUGUUAAGACAGAUGUGAAAUCCCCGGGCUCAACCUGGGACCUGCAUUUGUGACUGCAUCGCUAGAGUACGGCAGAGGGGGAUGGAAUUCCGGCGUGUAGCAGUGAAAUGCGUAGAUAUGCGGAGGAACACCGAUGGCGAAGGCAAUCCCCUGGGCCUGUACUGACGCUCAUGCACGAAAGCGUGGGGAGCAAACAGG
rnacentral:rRNA from 1 species